CGCUCAGCCAGUCAACCUCACCACCUCACGGCCCUCACCCAUUGCAGACUCUUGGUUCUUCACUUCUUCCAAGUUCCAACUAUAAGGUCUUAAAAUAGGAAAAUGUACAAUAUGUUGUGGCGCCAUAUGAAGCAGAUGUUGAAAUGACCUUUCUGGCAGUCAGCAAACAGGUUGAUGCAAUUAUAACAGAGGACUUAGAUUUGACAGACUUUGGUUGCAUUAGAAAACUACCUUUGACAUGGUGGUUUUGUUCUCUCUGUUUUACUUACACACAUACAAUCAUACAUAACCCAGUGAGAAGCAACAAUCAAAGCAUCCAUCAAGUGAUAUCCACAAAAAGCGCUUGGAUGUGGUAAG